GCCGAGGUGGCGAAAUGGCAGACGCACGGGACUCAAAAUCCCGCGAUGGCAACAUCAUGUCGGUUCAAGUCCGACCCUCGGCA
rnacentral:tRNA from 1 species